rnacentral:rRNA from 1 species
GAUGAACGCUAGCGGCAGGCUUAAUACAUGCAAGUCGAGGGGCAGCAGUUUUGUAGCAAUACAGAAGCUGGCGACCGGCAAACGGGUGCGGAACACGUACGCAACCUUCCUUUAACUGGAAGAUAGCCCACCGAAAGGUGGAUUAAUACUCCAUAACAUAUUGAAGAGGCAUCUCUUUGAUAUUAAAGCUCCGGCGGUUAAAGAUGGGCGUGCGUCUGAUUAGGUAGUUGGCGGGGUAACGGCCCACCAAGCCUUCGAUCAGUAGCCGAUGUGAGAGCAUGAUCAGCCACACGGGCACUGAGACACGGGCCCGACUCCUAUGGGAGGCAGCAGUAAGGAAUAUUGGUCAAUGGACGCAAGUCUGAACCAGCCAUGCCGCGUGGAGGAUGAAGGCCCUCUGGGUUGUAAACUUCUUUUCUUUGGGACGAAACCCCUGUUUCUACGGGGACUGACGGUACCAGAGGAAUAAGCACCGGCUAACUCCGUGCCAGCCGCCGCAGUAACAC